rnacentral:lncRNA from 1 species
CUUUGCUGCAGAGGGAUUUAGAUAGACUGGGGGACUGGGCACUCAAAUGGCAGAUGAAAUUUAAUGUUGAAAAAUGCAAAGUUAUGCACUUCGGCGUAAAGAAUACACAAGCAACGUAUACCCUUAAUGGAAGCGAAUUAGGAAUAACAACACAUGAAAAGGACUUGAUAAUUGUUAUAGACAACAAACUAUGCAACAAUGUGCAAUGUCAAUCAGCAGUGGCCAAGGCCAGUAAGGUAUUGUCA